GAUGAAACGCUGGCGGCGUGCUUAACACAUGCAAGUCGAACGAAGAUGCCGGAGUGCUUGCACUUUGGCAGACUGAGUGGCGGACGGGUGAGUAACGCGUGGGUAACCUGCCUUAUACAGGGGGAUAACAGUUGGAAACGACUGCUAAUACCGCAUGUCGUCUUUUGAGGGCAUCCUCGAAAGAAAAAAGGAUUUAUUCGGUAUAAGAUGGACCCGCGUCUGAUUAGCUAGUUGGUGAGAUAACAGCCCACCAAGGCAACGAUCAGUAGCCGACCUGAGAGGGUGAUCGGCCACAUUGGGACUGAGACACGGCCCAAACUCCUACGGGAGGCAGCAGUGGGGAAUAUUGCACAAUGGAGGAAACUCUGAUGCAGCAACGCCGCGUGAAGGAAGAAGGUUUUCGGAUCGUAAACUUCUAUCAAUAGGGACGAAACAAAUGACGGUACCUAAAUAAGAAGCCCCGGCUAACUACGUG
rnacentral:rRNA from 1 species